ACUCCUACGGGAGGCAGCAGUGGGGAAUAUUGCGCAAUGGGCGGAAGCCUGACGCAGCGACGCCGCGUGGGGGAUGACGGCCUUCGGGUUGUAAACCUCUUUCGCCAGGGACGAAGCUAACGUGACGGUACUUGGAGAAGAAGCACCGGCCAACUACGUGCCAGCAGCCGCGGUAACACGUAGGGUGCGAGCGUUGUCCGGAAUUAUUGGGCGUAAAGAGCUCGUAGGCGGUGUGUCGCGUCGGCCGUGAAAACUUGGGGCUUAACUCUGAGCGUGCGGUCGAUACGGGCAUCACUUGAGUUCGGCAGGGGAGACUGGAAUUCCUGGUGUAGCGGUGAAAUGCGCAGAUAUCGGGAGGAACACCGGUGGCGAAGGCGGGUCUCUGGGCCGAUACUGACGCUGAGGAGCGAAAGCGUGGGGAGCGAACAGGAUUAGAUACCCUGGUAGUCCACGCCGUAAACGUUGGGCGCUAGGUGUGGGGACCAUUCCACGGUUUCUGUGCCGCAGCUAACGCAUUAAGCGCCCCGCCUGGGGAGUACGGCCGCAAGGCUAAAACUCAAAGGAAUUGACGG
rnacentral:rRNA from 1 species